rnacentral:rRNA from 1 species
GAUGAACGCUGGCGGCGUGCCUAAUACAUGCAAGUCGAGCGAACAGACGAGGAGCUUGCUCCUCUGACGUUAGCGGCGGACGGGUGAGUAACACGUGGAUAACCUACCUAUAAGACUGGGAUAACUUCGGGAAACCGGAGCUAAUACCGGAUAAUAUAUUGAACCGCAUGGUUCAAUAGUGAAAGACGGUUUUGCUGUCACUUAUAGAUGGAUCCGCGCUGCAUUAGCUAGUUGGUAAGGUAACGGCUUACCAAGGCAACGAUGCGUAGCCGACCUGAGAGGGUGAUCGGCCACACUGGAACUGAGACACGGUCCAGACUCCUACGGGAGGCAGCAGUAGGGAAUCUUCCGCAAUGGGCGAAAGCCUGACGGAGCAACGCCGCGUGAAUGAUGAAGGUCUUCGGAUCGUAAAACUCUGUUAUUAGGGAAGAACAAAUGUGUAAGUAACUAUGCACAUCUUGACGGUACCUAAUCAGAAAGCCACGGCUAACUACGUG